UGGUCACAACCAAUCUCUGCCACACUCGCAC
rnacentral:piRNA from 1 species